rnacentral:ncRNA from 2 species
AUCUUAUCAAGAAAGGCAGAGGGUUUGGCCCAAUGAAGCCUUGGCAACCUGCAAAAGAUCAUUGAGCAAGGUGCCAAUUCCAACCAGUCCGUCAGUUGGCGGAUGGAGAGAUAAGUC